AUUAAACUCUGCAUUAUGAAUAGAACUUAUUAGGAAGUCAAUCUGAAAUUCCAAGCCUGAAGGAACUCUUAUCCCUGGCCAAAAUGUGGUCAAUUCUAAUAAUUCUUCCACAUUUAAUGUAUUGAAGAACUUAAAAAUAAUUUGCUGUAUACUUGCUUUGUGUACUCUGUGAAUGGAACUCAUAAAUGAAUUGACAGCAGACAUUAAAGGAGUUCUAGCUAAAUUAUUAGAUUCAAAUUAAUAUGAUCUAUAGACAAAAAAAAAAUUAAAACUUAAAAGAAGGUAAAGAGGAAUCCUAACUCUAUUAGAGAGGAAAAAUAAUUUGAAGACCAGAAGAGCAAACAUUUCUGCUUGUAUGAGCAGUUUUUCAAACAUUUUUUUAGAAAUCUUGAUAAUUAUAUAAUUUUUGAUUUUAUGGGAUAAUUAAAUCAUAUACCAGUCCUGUUCAGUGACUGAAGUACAUUUCAUUAGCUCUCCAUCCAUUUAUGGGAUUGUUUAGCUGCUGCAAACACAAUCUAACAAUCUAAUCUAUCAAGCUCCUGUUUGUGGAAAUUAAAAACAAAAAAAAAUUAUUUGGUCUAGUUUUUAUAUCCAUCUUCUUGGUGCCACCAGGGAGACACGAGGGAAUGGUGCCUGACUGAGCAGGGCAGCUCGGUGCUGCUCACAGGCUUGGAAGCCCUCACCCCCUGAGCUUUGCUUUGGGCUCCCCCAAGGGCAGGCAGGAAACAUCUGUGUGAGACACAUCUGCCUCCUGAUCUCUGGCAAACACUGUGACAAGGGGAAUCAUCUCGGCAUCCAGCAAGUGCCACCUCAUUUGUCACCAUGGUGCCUGUGCUUCCCCCACAGUUCCUCUGUCUCACUUUCUCGGACCCUCAGCUCUGUAUUAGUUCAUAAAAAAAGGGGAUUUGUCUUCACUGUUCCUGAAAUUUUAUUUUUGAGGUUUAUUUUUGAGAUUGGGCUAUCUGUUCUAUGUAGAAGGAAGGACUUAAGGAAAAAUUGAGCAAUGUAUGACUUUAUAGAAUACUUUAUUUAGCUUUUUCAGUUUGUAUGACCGGUGAUUCCUGCUCUUUCUGUCUCUCAUGAUUUACCUUCAUUAAAUGCUCUGAUCCAUGCUUAAAAAACUUCCAUACAGGCCUCCUUCCUUUCUAAACAUCACAUCUCUCUGCACUAAAUGAAGGCAGAAAAGAAAAGCUUCCCAAGGUACAGUGAGCAGAAAGUGUGCAAGUGCAAACCCAGACAGAGGAAAGGAUUAAUUCAAGCCUGAAAGGUCUCUGUAAGCUGGGAAGGUGUGCUAGGAAGGUGUUUAGCACAGAUAAGGACAGGAGACCCAGGGAGACAAAGACUGAAGUUAGGGGGUUUGGGAGGAUUCGUGAAAAGGACACCAGGAAAAAUAGUAAAUAGGGAUUUGACUGAACAAUGCAGUAUCUGUUAGAGAGGUGUUACAGGGGAGCCCUGGCGCUGAGAUCAGGGAGCAGAGGAGCUGGGGAGGAAGGGAGGCAGUCACAGCAGUGCCUGCAGAGAGUGGCAGGUGCUGAGACCAUGAGAAAAGCUGGGCUGUGAGUCCAGGUCCCUGAUCUACCAGCAAACAGUGGAACGACGAUUAAUUACAUCACAACUUGAAAAGUGGUGUUGUUUUCCACCCCUUCAAAUAGAGUCCACUAUUUACACUUGAAUCCACUGAUGGGCAGGAUUUUUUCAAAGACAGAAAUGAAAAACUGAUUUUAAAAAUCCAAAUUCUGUCUCACAAACAUUUCCAAAAAAUAGAAGACUUUGAAAAAGUAGUCUGAUGAGCUAAAAAUCUUGCUGUUUAUACUCAGAUUGAAGAAAGGCUGUCUGGAAGUUUCAUUCUCAUGCUAUUUUUGCAUUUUAUUUGGAAGCCCUUAGGGUCUCAAGCAGAAGCUGUAUGUAAGAGAAAAUGAAAAAUUUAUCUGAAUACAU
rnacentral:lncRNA from 1 species